UGAGCAAUCUGCCCUUCUCAUCGGAAUAAGCGUUGGAAACGACGUCUAAUGCCGAAUACGACCUCCUUUCGCAUGAUCGGAGGUGGAAAGCUCCGGCGGAGAAGGAUGAGUUCGCGGCCUAUCAGCUUGUUGGUGGGGUAAUGGCCCACCAAGGCAACGACGGGUAGCCGGCCUGAGAGGGUGACCGGCCACACUGGGACUGAGACACGGCCCAGACUCCGUACGGGGAGGCAGCAGG
rnacentral:rRNA from 1 species